CUGCUGCCUCCCGUAGGAGUUUGGACCGUGUCUCAGUUCCAAUGUGGGGGACCUUCCUCUCAGAACCCCUACUGAUCGUCGCCCCGGUAGGCCGUUACCCCGCCGGCAAGCUAAUCAGACGCAUCCCCAUCCUUUACCGGCCGAAGCCUUUGGUCAUGAAAAUAUGCAUCAACAUGACAACAUACGGUAUUAAUCCGCCUUUCGACGGGCUGUCCCAUAGUAAAGGGCAGGUUGGAUACGCGUUACUCACCCGUGCGCCGGUCGCCAU
rnacentral:rRNA from 1 species